rnacentral:rRNA from 1 species
GACGAACGCUGGCGGCGUGCUUAACACAUGCAAGUCGAACGGAAAGGCCCUGCUUUUGCGGGGUGCUCGUUUGGCGCAGGGGUGAGUAACACGUGUGUAACCUGCCCUUGACUUUGGGAUAACUCCUGGAAACUCGGGCUCAUACCGGAUAGGAGCUCUUGAUGCACGGUGGGGGUUGGAAAGUUUCGGCGGUUGGGGAUAGACUCGAGGGUUAUCAGCUUGUUGGUGGGGUAGUGGCUUACCAAGGCUUUGACGGGUAGCCGGCCUGAGAGGGUGACCGGCCACAAUGGGACUGAGAGACGGCCCAGACGGCUACGGGAGGCAGCAGUGGGGAAUAUUGCGCAAUGGGCGGAAGCCUGAUGCAGCGGCGCCGCGUGCGGAAUGACGUGCUUCGGGGGAAAAACCUCUUUGGCCGGUGACGAGGCGUUAGUGACGGUAAUGGGUAAAGAAGCACCGGCUAACUACGUG